rnacentral:rRNA from 1 species
UACGUAGGGUGCAAGCGUUGUCCGGAAUUAUUGGGCGUAAAGAGCGUGUAGGCGGCCAUACAGGUCAGCUGUGAAAACUCGAGGCUCAACCUCGAGACGUCGGCUGAAACCGUAUGGCUAGAGUCCGGAAGAGGAGAGUGGAAUUCCCGGUGUAGCGGUGAAAUGCGCAGAUAUCGGGAAGAACACCCGUGGCGAAGGCGGGUCUCUGGGCAGUAACUGACGCUGAGGAGCGAAAGCGUGGGGAGCGAACAGG